rnacentral:rRNA from 2 species
CAAUAAGCGGAGGAAAAGAAACCAACAGGGAUUACCUCAGUAACGGCGAGUGAAGCGGUAACAGCUCAAAUUUGAAAUCUGGUCCGGUUACGGGCCCGAGUUGUAAUUUGUAGAAGAUGCUUUGGUAAUGAGUCCGGCCUAAGUUCCUUGGAACAGGACGUCAUAGAGGGUGAGAACCCCGUAUGCGGCCGAGUACUCAGUGCCAUGUAAAGCUCUUUCGACGAGUCGAGUUGUUUGGGAAUGCAGCUCAAAAUGGGUGGUAAAUUUCAUCUAAAGCUAAAUAUUGGCCAGAGACCGAUAGCGCACAAGUAGAGUGAUCGAAAGAUGAAAAGCACUUUGGAAAGAGAGUUAAACAGUACGUGAAAUUGUUGAAAGGGAAGCGCUUGCAACCAGACUUGGGCACUGUGGAUCAUCCGAGGUUCUCCUCGGUGCACUCGGCAGUGCGCAGGCCAGCAUCAGUUUGGGUGGUUGGAUAAAGACUUGUGGAAUGUAGCUCCUUUCGGGGAGUGUUAUAGCCACAGGUGCCAUGCGACCAACCCGGACUGAGG